UAUGCAACCUACCUUCAACUGGGGGAUAGCCUUCCGAAAGGGAGAUUAAUACCGCAUAAUAUAAUUGAGUGGCAUCACUUGAUUAUCAAACGUCAGGGUUGAAGAUGGGCAUGCGUCCGAUUAGUUAGUUGGUGAGGUAACGGCUCACCAAGGCUACGAUCGGUAGGGGAUCUGAGAGGAUGGCCCCCCACACUGGUACUGAGACACGGACCAGACUCCUACGGGAGGCAGCAGUAAGGAAUAUUGGUCAAUGGACGGAAGUCUGAACCAGCCAUGCCGCGUGCAGGAAGACGGUCCUCUGGAUUGUAAACUGCUUUUGUUAGGGAAGAAACUUCCGUACGUGUACGGGACUGACGGUACCUAAAGAAUAAGGAUCGGCUAACUCCGUGCCAGCAGCCGCGGUAAUACGGAGGAUCCAAGCGUUAUCCGGAUUUAUUGGGUUUAAAGGGUGCGUAGGCGGCGUUGUAAGUCAGUGGUGAAAGUUUGCAGCUUAACUGUAAAAUUGCCAUUGAUACUGCAGUGCUUGAGUAUAGAUGAGGUGGGCGGAAUGUGUCAUGUAGCGGUGAAAUGCAUAGAUAUGACACAGAACACCGAUUGCGAAGGCAGCUCACUAAACUAUAACUGACGCUGAGGCACGAAAGCGUGGGGAUCAAACAGGAUUAGAUACCCUGGUAGUCCACGCCCUAAACGAUGAUUACUCGAUGUUAGCGAUACACUGUU
rnacentral:rRNA from 1 species